rnacentral:lncRNA from 1 species
AUUCAUCCGACUCUUGAGAGGGAUUAUAACAAGCAUAUUGUCACCAACAUUCGCAAUCAUCCGCAUUCCGUACUACAUUUGGUCUCCACGUCAACAUUCCCUGGAUGAUGUAUUCACAAUUGCAUACUACUAAGUAAAUUGCAUACAAAGAAAAUUGACAAAGCUUCCUAGUUCUCCAGAUUCCCACUAGAUUUUUGAGAGGGGCAGAAUAACCUCUACAAUGCGUCAACAGUGUCGUUCAACGUUACUCUCUUGUUUCUCUGAGUGUUCACUAUUCUGGAUAUCG